AAGUCGUAACAAGGUUUCCGUAGGUGAACCUGCGGAAGGAUCAUUAGCGUAAGAAGGAUCCGAGAGUACCUGUACUUUCAUCCUCCUAUAACCAUGUGAACGAGGAUCUGUAUGCCGAAGAGAGGUGUAUGGGGUACACGUGUGUUGGUGGUGGCGUGAGCUGCCGCCGGCAUACGCCUUGCAACUUGACGUGGCAAUCCACCGAAAACCGUUGACAAUCUGUGAAUUUUAACGAAUACUGAACCAAACACACAACUUUUAACAAUGGAUCUCUAGGCUCCU
rnacentral:misc_RNA from 1 species